GCCAAAAAGCAUGUUGUAAUUCGCAAUACUGUAAAAAAUGGAGAAGAGUUGAAUAUACAUUGCAAAUCCAGUGAAAAUAAUUUGGGGCAUAUCCAUCUUAAACA